UUAAUUAGGUCUACCAGAGGACACCUUGACUGUAAAGCAGCUUUGCACACUGGCUGGGUUGACCCCUGUGAUUUCCCCAAAUGUGGGAAACUCGACCGCCUAAUUUGUGGUAGUGGGGGACAAAUCAGGUCUCCCA
rnacentral:snRNA from 1 species